UGUGUUCCGUGACCGGGACAGUUGAUUGCAAUUAUUCAACUCGAACGAGGAAUUCCUUGUAAUCGUGAUUCAUCAUAUCGCGAUGAAUACGUCCCUGC
rnacentral:rRNA from 1 species